UUGACGGUGCAGUAUCCUAGUCGGAGUGACCAUCUUCCAGGAAGGGCCUAAAAAUCCUUUGAAGGGCACAUCGAUGAAGUCCCUGGUGUCUGCUUUUUACGCCCAGUUUAGGGUGGAUGCUGGGGGUUAAGGAUCCCGGGCGCGCGCCAAUGGCAUGGUGCAUACGACCCGGUUUCCGUGGAGACCUGAAGCUUGUGCGACGACGGGAUAACCCCCGGAAGGGGUCCGAUCGCGUACGAAUCAGGUAUGAACCUGCAAGGCGGUGCACAGAAUCGUGUGCUGCGUGCAGCGUAGCCUGCCUUGAGUGAGUAUGCGGGGAAGGAAGAACAGAUGAGACGGCGCUGUGGCCACGGUGCUUCUCAUUAUCGCUUCCGGAAACCAUCCUUGCAAAAGAGGCUAAGACUAUGGCACACUCUGUCGUGGAAAACACCUAGGCUGUCUUAACAGGGCAGGCAGGGGAUUACAGUACGGUCUAAGUGGCAAUCGGGUACCCAUUAUCAUGGCAACACUUGGGCGGACGGAUCAAAUGGAAACGGCCUGUGCGGCAACGGCAGGUUCUGUCCGGUGAAAAACAACCCGACCUAAGCCGUAAGAUUUAUCCUGCUUGCUGCCGUCUUUAAAAAAUAU
rnacentral:sRNA from 1 species